rnacentral:rRNA from 1 species
AACGCGAAGAACCUUACCAGGACUUGACAUGGAGAGGCCGUGUCCAGAGAUGGGCAUUCCCGCAAGGGCCUCUUGCACAGGUGCUGCAUGGCUGUCGUCAGCUCGUGUCGUGAGAUGUUGGGUUAAGUCCCGCAACGAGCGCAACCCUUAUCGUUAGUUGCCAGCGAGUCAAGUCGGGCACUCUAGCGAAACCGCCCCGGAUAACGGGGAGGAAGGUGGGGAUGACGUCAAGUCCUCAUGGCCUUUAUGUCCAGGGCUACACACGUGCUACAAUGGUCGGUACAAACCGUCGCAAACCUGCGAAGGGGAGCUAAUCGGAAAAAGCCGGCCUCAGUUCGGAUUGGAGUCUGCAACUCGACUCCAUGAAGCUGGAAUCGCUAGUAAUCGCGGAUCAGCACGCCGCGGUGAAUACGUUCCCGGGCCUUGUACACACCGACUGUAC